rfam:Schistosoma curassoni strain Dakar, Senegal genome assembly, scaffold: SCTD_contig0014159
GCACUGCUGAGGAAUCCAACAAUAGGACGAAACGGUCGUCCAGUGC